UCCGGUUUGUCACCGGCGGUCUCCGUAGAGUGCCCAACUGAAUGCUGGCAACUACGGACAAGGGUUGCGCUCGUUGCGGGACUUAACCCAACAUCUCACGACACGAGUUGACGACAGCCAUGCAGCACCUGUCUCCCGGUUCCCGAAGGCACCCCCGCAUCUCUGCAGGGUUCCGAGGAUGUCAAGGCCAGGUAAGGUUCUUCGCGUUGCAUCGAAUUAAACCACAUGCUCCACCGCUUGUGCGGGCCCCCGUCAAUUCCUUUGAGUUUCAGCCUUGCGGCCGUACUCCCCAGGCGGGGUACUUCCUGCGUUAGCGCCGGCACCCAAGGGGUCGCUCCCCCAGGCACCUAGUACCCAUCGUUUACGGCGUGGACUAC
rnacentral:misc_RNA from 1 species